CAAUAGCGUAUAUUAAAGUUGUUGCAGUUAAAAAGCUCGUAGUUGGACUUGUGGUGAGUCCUGGUGUCCAAUUUUGGUACUUCUGGGGGUUGCCAUCCUUGGGUGGAUCCUGUGUGGCAUUAGGUUGUCGUGCAGGGGAUACCCAUCGUUUACUGUGAAAAAAUUAGAGUGUUCAAAGCAGGCUUAUGCCGUUGAAUAUAUUAGCAUGGAAUAAUAAGAUAGGACCACGGUACUAUUUUGUUGGUUUGCGCACCGAGGUAAUGAUUAAUAGGGACAGUUGGGGUUAUUCGUAUUCCAUUGUCAGAGGUGAAAUUCUUGGAUUUCUGGAAGACGAACUAAUGCGAAAGCAUUCAACAAGGAUGUUUNCAUUAA
rnacentral:rRNA from 1 species